GAAACGACUGCUAAGACUGGAUAGGAGACAAGAAGGCAUCUUCUUGUUUUUAAAAGACCUAGCAAUAGGUAUGCUUAGGGAGGAGCUUGCGUCACAUUAGUUAGUUGGUGGGGUAAAGGCCUACCAAGACUAUGAUGUGUAGCCGGGCUGAGAGGUUGAACGGCCACAUUGGGACUGAGACACGGCCCAAACUCCUACGGGAGGCAGCAGUAGGGAAUUUUCGGCAAUGGAGGAAACUCUGACCGAGCAACGCCGCGUGAACGAUGAAGUAUUUCGGUACGUAAAGUUCUUUUAUUAGGGAAGAAUAAAUGAUGGAAAAAUCAUUCUGACGGUACCUAAUGAAUAAGCCCCGGCUAACUAUGUGCCAGCAGCCGCGGUAAUACAUAGGGGGCAAGCGUUAUCCCGGAAAUUAUUGGGCGUAAAGGGUGCGUAGGCGGGUUAAAUAAGUUUAUGGUCUAAGUGCAAUGCUCAACAUUGUGAUGCUAUAAAAACUGUUUAGCUAGAGUAAGAUAGAGGCAAGUGGAAUUCCAUGUGUAGUGGUAAAAUGCGUAAAUAUAUGGAGGAACACCAGUAGCGAAGGCGGCUUGCUGGGUCUUUACUGACGCUGAGGCACGAAAGCGUGGGGAGCAAACAGGAUUAGAUACCCUGGUAGUCCACGCCGUAAACGAUGAGUACUAAACGUUGGGUAAAACCAGUGUUGAAGUUAACACAUUAAGUACUCCGCCUGAGUAGUACGUACGCAAGUAUGAAACUUAAAGGAAUUGACGGGACUCCGCACAAGCGGUGGGAUCAUGUUGUUUAAUUCGAAGGUACCCGAAAAACCUCACCAGGUCUUGACAUGCUUCUGCAAAGCUGUAGAAACACAGUGGAGGUUAUCAGUUGCACAGGUGGUGCAUGGUUGUCGUCAGCUCGUGUCGUGAGAUGUUGGGUUAAGUCCCGCAACGAGCGCAACCCUUAUUGUUAGUUACCAGCACGUAAUGGUGGGGACUUUAGCGAGACUGCCAGUGAUAAAUUGGAGGAAGGUGGGGAUGACGUCAAAUCAUCAUGCCCCUUAUGACCUGGGCUACAAACGUGAUACAAUGGCUGUUACAAAGGGUAGCUGAAGCGCAAGUUUUUGGCGAAUCUCAAAAGAACAGUCUCAGUUCGGAUUGAAGUCUGUAACUCGACUUCAUGAAGUUGGAAUCGCUAGUAAUCGCGAAUCAGCAUGUCGCGGUGAAUACGUUCUCGGGGUUUGUACACACCGCCCGUCA
rnacentral:rRNA from 1 species